rnacentral:rRNA from 1 species
CCAAUAGCGUAUAUUAAAGUUGUUGCAGUUAAAAAGCUCGUAGUUGAAUUUCGGGAUCAAUAUAUCGGUCAUGCUUAGGUAUGUACUGGUAUUAUUGAUUUCUCCCUUCUGAAGAACCAUGAUGUCAUUAAUUUGAUGUCAUGGGGAAUCAGGACUGUUACUUUGAAAAAAUUAGAGUGUUUAAAGCAGGCUUUCGCUUGAAUACAUUAGCAUGGAAUAAUGAAAUAGGACGUUUGAUUCUAUUUUGUUGGUUUCUAGGAUCGACGUAAUGAUUAAUAGGGAUAGUUGGGGGCAUUAGUAUUCAAUUGUCAGAGGUGAAAUUCUUGGAUUUAUUGAAGACUGACUACUGCGAAAGCAUUUGCCAAGGAUGUUUUCAUUAAUCAAGAACGAAAGUUAGGGGAUCGAAGACGAUCAGAUACCGUCGUAGUCUUAACCAUAAACUAUGCCGACUAGGGAUCGGAUGAUGUUAAUUUUUUAAUGACUCAUUCGGCGCCUUACG